rnacentral:rRNA from 1 species
AGAGUUUGAUCCUGGCUCAGAUUGAACGCUGGCGGCAUGCCUUACACAUGCAAGUCGAACGGCAGCACGGGAGCAAUCCUGGUGGCGAGUGGCGAACGGGUGAGUAAUAUAUCGGAACGUGCCCAGUAAUGGGGGAUAGCCCGGCGAAAGCCGGAUUAAUACCGCAUACGACCUACGGGUGAAAGCGGGGGAUCGCAAGACCUCGUGUUAUUGGAGCGGCCGAUAUCAGAUUAGCUUGUUGGCGGGGUAAAAGCCCACCAAGGCGACGAUCUGUAGCUGGUCUGAGAGGACGACCAGCCACACUGGGACUGAGACACGGCCCAGACUCCUACGGGAGGCAGCAGUGGGGAAUUUUGGACAAUGGGCGCAAGCCUGAUCCAGCCAUGCCGCGUGUGGGAAGAAGGCCUUCGGGUUGUAAACCACUUUUGUCAGGGAAGAAACGGCUCUUACUAAUAUUAGGAGCUAAUGACGGUACCUGAAGAAUAAGCACCGGCUAACUACGUGCCAGCAGCCGCGGUAAUACGUAGGGUGCAAGCGUUAAUCGGAAUUACUGGGCGUAAAGCGUGCGCAGGCGGCUUUGCAAGACAGAUGUGAAAUCCCCGGGCUCAACCUGGGAACUGCAUUUGUGACUGCAUGGCUAGAGUACGGUAGAGGGGGAUGGAAUUCCGCGUGUAGCAGUGAAAUGCGUAGAUAUGCGGAGGAACACCGAUGGCGAAGGCAAUCCCCUGGACCUGUACUGACGCUCAUGCACGAAAGCGUGGGGAGCAAACAGGAUUAGAUACCCUGGUAGUCCACGCCCUAAACGAUGUCAACUGGUUGUUGGACGGCUUGCUGUUCAGUAACGAAGCUAACGCGUGAAGUUGACCGCCUGGGGAGUACGGCCGCAAGGUUGAAACUCAGAGGAAUUGACGGGGACCCGCACAAGCGGUGGAUGAUGUGGUUUAAUUCGAUGCAACGCGAAAAACCUUACCUACCCUUGACAUGUCUAGAAGUUUCCAGAGAUGGAUUCGUGCUCGAAAGAGAACUAGAACACAGGUGCUGCAUGGCCGUCGUCAGCUCGUGUCGUGAGAUGUUGGGUUAAGUCCCGCAACGAGCGCAACCCUUAUCAUUAGUUGCUACGCAAGGGCACUCUAACGAGACUGCCGGUGACAAACCGGAGGAAGGUGGGGAUGACGUCAGGUCAUCAUGGCCCUUAUGGGUAGGGCUACACACGUCAUACAAUGGCCGGUACAGAGGGCUGCCAACCCGCGAGGGGGAGCUAAUCUCAGAAAACCGGUCGUAGUCCGGAUCGCAGUCUGCAACUCGACUGCGUGAAGUCGGAAUCGCUAGUAAUCGCGGAUCAGCUUGCCGCGGUGAAUACGUUCCCGGGUCUUGUACACACCGCCCGUCACACCAUGGGAGCGGGUUCUGCCAGAAGUAGUUAGCCUAACCGCAAGGAGGGCGAUUACCACGGCAGGGUUCGUGACUGGGGUGAAGUCGUAACAAGGUA